UCCGGCCCCGGCCCGCAGCGGGCAGAGGGGACCGAGGUGCCGGUUCUCUCUCGUGUGCAGGGCGCCUGCCCUGGGCCGCGCGUUCUCCUGCAAAACGCCUUGAAAGUGUAAUUUGCAAGGCCUUUUUCGCAUGUCACGCUGAAAUGAUUGUUUCUUGCUGUUCAAAGGGAAAACAAAAGCUGUAGUAGUAGAGCUGAGGAUGCGGACAUGGCAUGCAGCCUUUUAUAUGCGCAGGGUAAAGGCUCCUGCUGAAUUUUAGGAGAAAACCAUCUUAGUUUGUAUUUGGAUUUCCUUCAAAGUUUGUUAAGACUCAAGGCAAGCAAUAUUAUUAAACAGUAUUUAAAUGUCAGUAAGUAUACUGCAAGUCUUAGUUUCUGUGCUGGCUGGUUUUAGUAACUAUUAUAAUUUCAAAGACAGAUAUACUCUCCUGAAACCAACAUAAAAAGGCUAGUGGUUAUGAAGAGAAUUGGCCAUGCCGGUGACCAAGAAAUAUAAGUACGCCUAUAGAGCUUGAUUUAAUUGCAUUCAUGAGCUACGUACAAGAUGUUUCCAUGGUAUCUGCAUGAGGCAGCUGCUCCUGAUUUUUGCCUUGAAGUUGAUUUCCAGUCUGCCUGUUUUAUAAACAAAGUUUCCUUCCGAGAAGAAAGUAAAGAGAAAAAAACUAUCGGAAAAACAAACAGCUGGGAAUGACAAGCUGAGGGAAAAAAUGAAGAGGACGUAUCACCUACUGGGGGAAAGUAAGGACAGGGAGAGAGAGCAAAACCUCUGGCAGAGGACUUCCAGUAAUGACCAUCCUUCCUUGUAGGUAGUCUUGGGCACAGUUGGUGGAGGACCUUUGUUCCAUUGGUUUUUUGCUUUGUUUUACCUGGUAGUGUGUGAUAUUAGCAUGUGUCUCCUAUUACUUUAACAUGAUGGCAUAGUGUGAUUUACAGCUAAGUUCAGAGUUAAAAUACCAUUCAUUAUUCUCCACAGAAUAACAACUGUAUUUUGAGAAUAGAUAAUUAGAUUAUGAUAUUAAUAUGGAGUCCGUUCAUGCACAAAGUGCAAAUUUUGAUUUCGUUUUAUGGCCUUAUGUGCAGCUGUCAUUUUACUUUAUCACCCCAUUUCUUCAUAGACAAAAUCUCUGGUCCAUGUUGCUUUCUGUAACAAAAUUAAUGAGAAGUCUGCUAGCACUCAUAUAUAUUUCCAAUCUAUUGAUUGUAGAUGCUAAUGUUGGGAGCUGUGCUAAAACUAGUCUCACUGGCCACCAACUGGGGUGCUGGUUAGAACUGUCUAGUGCUUUUAAUCCCACUUCAUUCAGUUUGGUACGUGUACUUCUACAAGUAUUUUUCAGUUGUUAAAUCUAUUUAAUGGGAUUUUUUUUGUUGUUGUUCUGGAAUUCAGCUCUUCCUAUUUGACAUUUUUUCAUUGAAAAAAAAACAAACAACUUGAUAAUGCUUCCACUUAACUUGGUCUAAUAAACACCUCCACAGGAUACUGUUGUUACCUCAUAAAAAGGGAGAAACCUCAAUUUAUGUUCUAAUUUAUAUCCAUGGGUUUUAAUGUACUUUCUAAAAGUGCUUGUAUUGUGAAACAAACCAUGAUAUCUUCAGUGUGUAUUAAACAACAAAAAAGGAGUAGUUGGUCUAUGCAUCACAAAUGUUUUGCCAUUUCACAAGAUGGUAAGUCACCCUAAGUUGUUUUUUUUUUUUUCUAAAAGUGUACAUGGGAUUGUUUGAUACCACAACAAGUGAAGUAUGUGACAUCAAUAGAAGCAAUAGAAUGAUUAUACUAGCAGAGUACCAAUUAAAAAGGGAAGACAGUGUUUUCUUUCUGUGUCUACAGAUUUGUUCCUCGUAAUUAUAGAAGUCAUAGAAGCAAAUUAAUCUAGUUUUCUGUACUAUUGUUAUACUAUAUAUAUGUUUCUAUAGAAUACUUAUUUGCCUGUUGAAGUACUUGAAAGGAAAAGUGCACUGCCACAUAUUGAGGAUGUUACUUUAUACUCAUGGGGCCUGAUCUAUGGUCCAUAGAAAGUCUAUCAAUUUUAAUGGACUUGGGCCACUUCUGUGAUUCUUAGCUGCAUGUUUAUGUAUUUUCUGUAAGAAGAUGUAAAAGAUUGUUGAAAAUGAUGAGUUAUUUAAAAAUCAAUUUUCUGUAACUGAGAUGGCAACAUGCCCAAAGUGUUCUUACCCUAGCACUUGACAUUCCUGUAGUUUCACAUGAUGAAAUUUCUGGAGCUUGGAUUUGCCCUUUUAACCUCUCUGUAGUCAGAUACACAAACCUAUAUGAAAAUACCUUUCUGUUUUCAAAUGCAAUUAUUUAAAGUUAUUAUUAAAGUUAUAAUUAUUUAAAUAAUUUGAAGUCAUUUCCCCUCUUUGUCUGUAUUUGUUAAGACACUGCAUUAACUGCUGUAUACUGCUUUUUCCCCGAAGGAUUUCAGCUUCGUUCACUGUAUGGAAAAAACCUCUGUAGUCAUGUGAUGAAUUGGAUUUUUUUUCUGAAAAACUCCUGCCUUAUUUGUUGCAAAAUUUGGAAUACAUACCAUUUGAAUGAAGCAGGAACUGUAGAAAGAAAAUUUAAGUGUAAAGAUAAUCGGACUGCUACUCAAUGAAUACGGAUUCUGUCCUUGCCUCUAUGUACUUUUUAUGUAAGCUUAGAAGUAAUUUGAUGGAAUUUUCUUUUCUUUCCAUGUAUUUUUUUUUUUUUUUAACACAAGAUUCAUGUUAUUCUUUGCCAGCCAUCUAAUUUAAGUACGUUGAUGUCAUAAGCUGUUGUCUAAAGAGGUCAUUCCAGUUGGCUCUGGCCAGUUUCAGAGUGAUGCCUAUGCACUUGUAGUACUGCUGAUUGUGCGUGUUCAUGGUCAGACAGACCAGCUGAUCCAGCUGAAAACUUAACAUGCAAAAAAACCACCUGAAACUAUUAUUUUUCAUCUAAAUCAACUGUGAAUUCAACUCACUGGACAGCCUUAAAAAUAGAAGUGCCAACAUAUGGGUGGAAAAAAGAAUGCAAGGCUACCUCUCUCUGUUGAUGGUAGCAGACCCUUGAGGGAUUGACCUCACAAUGUAGACCUCUAAAUUAGGUGCCAGUCAUUAAGCAAUAUGAUUAUCCUGCGUAUGUUCUGCUAAAAGUUUACAUUUGAGAGUGUCGUUGCACUAAAUGCUAAGCACUGUCAAUGGAGCUGAAUUUAAUGACAGUCAAACCUUGAACAUACUGGCACAGUACUCUGAAAAAUCAGGUCCUGGGUGUACUCUACUGGAGAGCCCAAAUCAGUGAACAGCUUUUGGCUAAAUCAUUCAAGUUGAUUUCUCUCAUCCACAUAUACAUGAAUUUAAAAAUAUAUACACACGUGCAGAAGUAUACAAAAAUAUACAUGACAGAGGAGAAUGUGUUUUGAAAAUACAUAUACUAGUAUAUUUUUUUGCUUGUGCUUAUUCAAUAAGAUGCUAUUGUAAUACUUAAUAUGUCUGACAUGAACAGUUGGCAGUAAAGAGUGAGGCCAAAUUUUGAAUUUAAGAGUUAAAAUAAGUACAGAAGAGGUGCACUAUUUUCUGUGUAAGUAAGGCAAAGGAGGGGAAAAUUAGAAAUUAGGAGCUGUUUUGUAAUACAGGUAAAGAAUAGGACUGAAAUGAGGUUGUACAUCAAAAUGCGUGGUAUCAUGUACAAGUUUCACAGUUUUUGACAUAGUAACAAUGGUGUUAUGAUGUAAAAAUAAAAGUACAAAAUUAUUAAUACAGCUAGUGAAAUAAAAAGUAUACUUGCUUAUAGAUUGCAUUAAGGUUUUUUGUUAAUUAGCAACAUUUUAUAAUUUUGUAGUAUAUUUCUGAAGCGUUGUUAUGAGACAGCAAUGCUCUGCUGAAUUGCCUCAUUAUUUUUAUUAACUUCACAGAAACAUAGUACCUCAGAGUAACUAGGUACCUUGUCUGUAUCUCUUCUUACAGCCAGAAGGAUUUCAAAUAGAAAAGGUUAUUGUAAUGCUGAUCCACUUCUCCCAUAUUUCUUUGGAAGUGUAUGCAAGCCCAGUUCUUUCAGUCCUUUCUUGUAAGUAAUUUUUCUGAAAGGGUUGUCAUUUUUUUGCUCUCUAUACUUCGCAACAUCUUUCUUAAAAUCCAGUGCAAACACUGCUUCAGCUGAGGCAUUUCCUUUUGCUGAGUAGAAUAAAAAUUCUCAUAUUUUCUAAGCAAGAUUCCUAUGUGCUGCUUCUCAUAUUAACUACUAAAAAAUCAGUGUGAGUUUUUUAUUCUGCCUUUGCUCACUCUCCAGUCUAUUAUGCUAGCAUAUAGAAAUAGCACCAUAAGGGGAAAGCAAACUAUGUGUAGCACAAUGAAUAUGCUGGUCUGUCUCCUAUAGGAGGGAAUUCAGUGUGCAAAGUAUAAGAAAAUAAGAUUCAAAAAUACUAGUGGAUGAACACUGUAAUAUAGAUAUUAGAUAUUUUUUCAUGGAACAUAGUAAUAGCAUUACAGUUUCUUGAGUGUUCCAUUUCUUCUGUUACCCAUUUAUUCUUUCUAACACAUGUAAAACAUAUUUGACGUUUAUAAUAAUGGAAUUAUUAGGCAUGUUACUGACAUCAAGGUUUAAGGGACUGGGUGACACAGGGAAUUUAUGUUCCACUUUAAUCCAUUUAUCAGCCUCCUCUGGGAACAGAUUUUAAAUCUAACUCAAGCCAUACCAAUUUGGGGGGAAAAACCUGCUUAAUCCAACAGCUUGCAAAACAUGUAAAUGUAUGAAAUUUUUGUCUAGGUUCCCCCUCACCUCUCUUUUUUAUGAAGGAAAAUAUUAAUGGUUUAUAUGAUGACUUACUCUUUGAAAUCACAUGGCUACUUGUUCAGAUCUGUUGUUUUUAAGUUCAAGAAUUAAGAGAGAAUAUGAUACUGCUGCAUGAUACAGAUGUAUGAAAUAUUAAAUAAUUGAAAUACAAAAGUAUAUGAUUCCAUAGAGUAGUAAGUAGGUAGCCAUUAAUUACUUCUUUACACAUCAGAGCAAAUUUCUUUUCAAUUAUAAAAAUAUUUUUAUUGAUUAUUGGUGCUUUUUUGUUGUUGUUGUUUUAUUUCUUUUUCCUUGGUUGUUGUUUUGUUUUAAUUUUGACAGGGAGGAAAACUUUUGAGUGUAUUUCUAUUAUGCAAAUGUAUACAGAAGCACUAAAACCAGUUGAUUCAAGGGUAUGUGAAGAGGCAGUGUAGGUUGCCUAAACUUAGUCAGUCUGACUAAGUUUAAACUGCCUCAGUCAGUCCUGACCAAGGUUGGCUGUUCCCCUGUAAUAAAACUAGUUUGCUCUUUCUGAUCUACAAACUUAAUGAAGAUUUCACUUGGUUAAUAAUGAGUUGUAUAAAACCAGUCUCUGAAGUACCCUAGUGUGAAUCCAAAAUCAUUGAAUGCUAAUGUGAGCAGGAUCAAAAUUGGGCAUAUUAUAUGACUCAUGCUGAUGUGGUCAAUUAUCUUUAUAAUGUAAGGAAUGAUAAGAGAAGAAUUAUUGCCAGUCCUUGAUUUUUGACAUUGGCAUUGAAGCACAUAUCUGGAGAAAUUCAACUUGAGAACCAUGUAUUGUACAUGUUCAGUCAGAAUAAUUUCCAACAUACUGAGAUGCCAAUCUUAGGGUUUAAGAUGAAAAAUACACUCCUAUUAGUCAAAUAUUUAUGAGUAGAACCCAAUGUGUUUAAACCUUGUUGACCUUUACAUAGUUAUGACAUAUAUAUCAUCUCUUGGUUAUCCUUACUGUUGCUUUGUUCUAGAAAAAGUAAAACAAGAGGUUAAGUAGUCCCUAAGGGUAAGUUAAAACAUAGGCUACUGCCAUGUUGCAUGGCAGUCUUUCAAGGCAAGUUGAUGAGACUGCUCAAAGCAAUACAAGAGCUUACUAGAUUAUGCCAUUUGAGAUAAAAAUGUAUUUUUGAAAGAGUUUAUGAUUUCCACAUUUAGUUCUAGUACUGUAAACAAUAUAUUUGAUAGUAUUUGUGUUAUAUAUGUAAGGCCUAAUUCCUGUGUUUCUCUUUAAGCAAUUGCAUUCAAAAUGAGUUUAAAAUUUUAUCUAAUUUUCUAACAUUUAAAUGUUCUUUCUGAUUCAAGGCUGGAAGGAAAGUCACCAUGAUCAUUUAGUCUGAUUUCUUGCUUAAUAUAUAUUUUAGAUACUUCUUUCAUUAAUUACUGCUUAUAAUUCAGCACCUGAAUUAGCAGGCAUCAUUUUGAGACAAAAUGGUACCCAAAAAUAUAUUUAGAACUUAAUUAAAAAUCAUCCAGAAAUACAGACCCUUACUAAAUUCAUUGUGGUUAAUUACUUUUAGUGUCAAUUGUAAGUAACCUGAUUUGAACUUGUACAGCUAUAUUUUUAUCACUUAGUUUUGCUGUGUCUUGUUUUCCUGAUUUUGGUCAGUUAAAUAGUAAAUAUAUCGAUAUAAAGUGAAUGUUGCUGCUCAGAUCACCUCUUAAACUUUUCUUUGAGAAGUUAAACAGAUGAAGUUCGCUAAGGUUCUAAACACUAAAUUUGUUGCUGAUGUUCUUCAAAGGCCUUCUUUAAGCAUUUUGUUUUGUAAUCAGGCUAAAUUUAUGUAUUGUUAUGAAAGCAGCUUCACUGAGAAGAAUGUUGGGGUCCUGGUGGACAGCAAGCUGACUGUGAGCCAGUGAUGCACCCUCAUGGCAAAAAUGGCCAAGAGUAUCUUGGGCUGCAUUUGGAGGAGCAUUGUCAGCAGGUCCAUGACUUCUCUCUGCUCAGCAGCACUGAUGAGGCUGACUCUGGAAUACUGUUUGUAGUAGUUGGCAAUAAUGUUGUAGCGGAAUCUCAGCUGACCAUAACAUUUUCUCAGCACUGGAAACUUCUCCAGAAAUACAGUAGUGACAUGGAAAUAUUUCCUGUAUCUUGUGGACACUUUGCACCAGUUGGAAGGAUGGCUUUCUUUCUACCUUGAAACUAAUUUUUAUGUAAUUAUGUUUACAUAAUUUUUAUGUAAACACUGAUGUACUUAAAGCAGUUAUUUGCCCGCUGACUGCAGAAAAUAAAUAAAUAAUA